rfam:Brachypodium distachyon strain Bd21 chromosome 3, whole genome shotgun sequence.
CUACGGACUUGAUUGUAUUGAGCCUUAGUAUGGAAACCUGCUAAGUGUUAACUUCCAAAUUCAGAGAAACCCUGGAAUUAAAAAAGGGCAAUCCUGAGCCAAAUCCGUGUUUUGAGAAAACAAGGGGUUCUCGAACUAGAAUCCAAAGGAAAAGGAUAGGUGCAGAGACUCAAUGGAAGCUGUUCUAACGAAUCGAGUUAAUUUAUUUAGGUUCUUUUGGUAGUGGAAAUCCUUUUAAAUUAGAGAAAGAAGGGAU